ACGAACGCUGGCGGCGUGCUUAACACAUGCCAGUCGAACGGGCCCGCUCUCUUUUUUGGGGGUGGGUUGAGUGGCGAACGGGUGAGUAUCACGUGAGUAACCUGCCCCCUGCUCCUGGAUAACUGCUUGAAAGGGCGGCUAAUACGGGGUGUGCCGGCUGGUCCGCAUGGGCCUGGUCGGGAUAGUUUUAUCUUCGGGUGGUUCGGUGGGGGAUGGGCUCGCGGUCUAUCAGCUUGUUGGUGGGGUGAUGGCCCACCAAGGCGGUGACGGGUAGCCGGCGUGAGAGGGUGUGCGGCCGCACUGGGACUGAGGCACGGCCCAGACGCCGGCGGGAGGCAGCAGUGGAGGGUAUGGCACGAUGGGCGGAAGCCUGAUGCAGCGACGUCGCGUGAGGGAUGGAGGCCUUCGGGUUGUGAACCUCUUUCUCCGGUGGUGAAGGCCCUGUCCGUUGCGGCGGGGUUGACGGUAGCCGGGGAUGAAGCGCCGGCUAACUACGUG
rnacentral:rRNA from 1 species